GAACCAGAAGGAUGUGGCCAAAUAACCAUGUGUUAAGGAGAUCAGUCAGCCAUCCGAACAGAGGCCAGGAGCUGUUGUACAAGACAAUGAAAGAAUGACCCCAAAGAUACACAGAUGAAGAUGACAUCUAUGGAAUCUUUUCCUUGCAAUUGAUGCAUUCUUUAGUCCAGUAAUAUCAUCUCACUUUGUAUCCAAGAGAUCCUCUCUGUUCAUGUAGAAUUCAGCCAAACACUACAAUGGAUGUGGAAUAAAUGAGCAACAAAUAUUGAAUUAAUAAAUAAACAUCGCACUUUCUGAUGAGGCUGGAGGCUCUCACUUGAUAGCAGAGGAUAAAGAGAAGAAGAAAAGCAGGAACUACUUUCGGCUGGUAAGCAGAUCUUACAGUACAGUAGUUAAGCAUAUAAUGUUUGGAGCCUGACUGAUAUAGGCACAAAUCUCAAGUCCACAACUAUGUGAACGUUGGUAAGUUGCUAAACAUUGUUAAGCCAU
rnacentral:lncRNA from 1 species